rnacentral:rRNA from 1 species
UCGGGAAUUUUGGGCAAUGGGCGAAAGCCUGACCCAGCAACGCCGCGUGAGGGAUGAAGGCCCUCGGGUCGUAAACCUCUGUCGGGAGGGAAGAACGGUUCACGUUCAAACAGGACGGGAGCCUGACGGUACCUCCAAAGGAAGCACCGGCUAACUCCGUGCCAGCAGCCGCGGUAAUACGGAGGGUGCAAGCGUUGUUCGGAAUCAUUGGGCGUAAAGCGCGUGUAGGCGGCUUGGCAAGUCGGUUGUGAAAGCCCGGGGCCCAACCCCGGAACUGCAUCUGAAACUGCCUAGCUAGAGUCCCGGAGAGGAAGGCAGAAUUCCCGGUGUAGGGGUGAAAUCCGUAGAUAUCGGGAGGAAUACCAGCGGCGAAGGCGGCCUUCUGGACGGUGACUGACGCUGAGACGCGAAAGCGUGGGGAGCAAACAG